UACGGAGGGUGCAAGCGUUAUCCGGAUUUACUGGGUUUAAAGGGUGCGUAGGCGGGCAAGUAAGUCCGUGGUGAAAUCUCUGAGCUUAACUCAGAAACUGCCGUGGAUACUAUUUGCCUUGAAUAUUGUGGAGGUGAGCGGAAUAUGUCAUGUAGCGGUGAAAUGCUUAGAUAUGACAUAGAACACCAAUUGCGAAGGCAGCUCACUACACAAUCAUUGACGCUGAGGCACGAAAGCGUGGGGAUCAAACAGG
rnacentral:rRNA from 1 species